rnacentral:rRNA from 1 species
AACGAACGCUGGCGGCAGGCUUAACACAUGCAAGUCGAGCGCAUCCUUCGGGGUGAGCGGCAGACGGGUGAGUAACGCGUGGGAAUCUACCUUUUGCUACGGAAUAGCUCCGGGAAACUGGAAUUAAUACCGUAUGUGCCCUUAGGGGGAAAGAUUUAUCGGCAAGAGAUGAGCCCGCGUUGGAUUAGCUAGUUGGUGGGGUAAAGGCCUACCAAGGCGACGAUCCAUAGCUGGUCUGAGAGGAUGAUCAGCCACAUUGGGACUGAGACACGGCCCAAACUCCUACGGGAGGCAGCAGUGGGGAAUAUUGGACAAUGGGCGCAAGCCUGAUCCAGCCAUGCCGCGUGAGUGAUGAAGGCCUUAGGGUUGUAAAGCUCUUUCACCGGAGAAGAUAAUGACGGUAUCCGGAGAAGAAGCCCCGGCUAACUUCGUGCCAGCCGCCGCGGUAAAAC